GAUGAACGCUGGCGGCGUGCCUAAUACAUGCAAGUCGAGCGAACAGACGAGGAGCUUGCUCCUCGGACGUUAGCGGCGGACGGGGGAGUAACACGUGGGUAACCUACCUAUAAGACUGGGAUAACUUCGGGAAACCGGAGCUAAUACCGGAUAAUGUAUUGAGCCGCAUGGUUCAAUAGUGAAAGACGGUUUUGCUGGCACUUAUAGAUGGUACCGCGCCGCAUGAGCCAGUUGGUAAGGUAACGGCUUACCAAGUCAACGAUGCGUAGCCGACCUGAGAGGGUGAUUGGCUACACUGGAUCUGAGACCCGGCCCACACUCCUAUGGGGUGCCGCAGCAGGGAGUCUUCCGCAAUGGUCGAGAGCCUGAUGGUGCAGCGCCGGCUGAGUGAUGACGGUCUUAGGAUCCUUAACCUCUGUUAUUAGGGGAGAUCUAAUGUGUAUGUAUCUAUGCACGUCUUGACGGUACCUAAUCAGAAAGCCACGGCUAACUACGUG
rnacentral:rRNA from 1 species